GCCCGCUCAGAAACUCAAAUGAAUUGACGGGGCCCGGCACAAGCAGCGGAGCAUGUGGUUUAAUUCGAAGCAACGCGAAGAACCUUGCCAAGACUUGACAUCCCCUGACAGCUGUUGAAAGGCAGUGUCUCUUCGGAGCAGGGAGACAGGUGGUGCAUGGUUGUCGUCAGCUCGUGUCGUGAGAUGUUGGGUUAAGUCCGCAACGAGCGCAACCCUUAUCCUUAGUUACCAGCACGUAAAGGUGGGGACUCUAGGGAGACCGCCGGGGACGACUCGGAGGAAGGUGGGGACGACGUCAAAUCAUCAUGCCCCUUAUGUCUUGGGCUACACACGUGCUACAAUGGCCGCAACAGAGGGAAGCGAGAGCGCAAGCUGGAGCAAAACCCUAAAAAGCGGUCCCAGUUCGGAUUGUGGGCUGCAACCCGCCCACAUGAAGUCGGAGUUGCUAGUAAUCGCGAAUCAGCAUGUCGCGGUGAAUGCGUUCCCGGGCCUU
rnacentral:rRNA from 1 species